UGAUACUAAUUAAUGAGCUCUUUCAUUCAAAUGUAAUAGAUUACACCAAUGCACAUACAUUUCAAUCUUAAAUCAUGAGUUCUACAUGAAAUAUGUAACAUUACAAAAGUAAUGACAAUUGCAAUUGACAUGUGAUACUAUAGAAACACUAAAUUUUUUCAAAGUUAAAAUAAUGAGUACAAUGAAAGCUUCACACAUAGGCUUUGUCCUACUAAAUUCUAAUCAAUUAGAAGUAGCUCUUGCAUACUCUUCUAGUUCUACAAAUUUUAAGCAGUUUCCUCAAGAAGCAACUCAUUCAUAUUCUUCUAAUUCUACCAAAUUUUAUACAUCACUCUGAAACCAUUUCAAAAACAGACUUUAGUAUAUGCUAACUUAGUCCAAAAAGAAAACAAUGAUAAUAAAAUUAACUUAACCAAUGUGGGCUGAACUACUGAUGAACUUAAAGUUAAAUUUCUUCAAGAGAACACAGUUAAAGUCCUAGACAUUUGGUUAGAAUGCAACAAGAGAAGAGAACACAAUAUUAGCACAAAUUGUUUACUAGCAACAUGAACAAGGGCCUUAACAGUUCAACUAUACCCAAGAUAAUGGCAUAAUUUACAUUUGCUAACUGGAAACAACGCAAUGUCACAAGUAUAAUACUUCUACCACCAGUAUGCUCAAAACAAAAACCAAAUACCACCCUACAACAGCAACGUCAAAGAGAUCAAUAAGAUAACCCAACUCAAAGCAUCAUUCUUCCCUAAGACAUACAUCAAACUUAAUUAAAGACAUGAUAUUUAAACAAAGUCAUAAUAACUAAUAUAGUUACUUGGAGAGAAUUUAGUUACAAAAUAAACCAAUACAAAACUAACUAGCUUCAAUAAGAACAAAUGACAUCAAAG
rnacentral:lncRNA from 1 species